rnacentral:rRNA from 1 species
CCGAAAGGCAGGAGUGCCUGCAAGGGAGCGCGGAGACAGGUGGUGCAUGGCUGUCGUCAGCUCGUGUCGUGAGAUGUUGGGUUAAGUCCCGCAACGAGCGCAACCCUCACCUCUUGUUGCCAUCAGGUCAUGCUGGGCACUCUAGAGGAACUGCCCCGGUCAACGGGGAGGAAGGCGGGGACGACGUCAAGUCAUCAUGCCCCUUACGUCCUGGGCUACACACGUGCUACAAUGGCCGGUACAAAGGGAUGCCACACCGCGAGGUAGAGCUAAACCCAAAAAGCCGGUCUAAGUUCGGAUUGGAGUCUGCAACUCGACUCCAUGAAGGAGGAAUCGCUAGUAAUCGCGUAUCAGCACGACGCGGUGAAUACGUUCCCGGGCCUUGUACACACCGCCCGUCACACCACGAAAGCCAG